rnacentral:rRNA from 1 species
AAGUCGAACGGAGUAGCAAUACUUAGUGGCAGACGGGUGAGUAACAUGUGGGUAUCUUCCCUUUGGUGAGGAAUAACACGAGGAAACUUGUGCUAAUACCUCAUAAGUCUUCACGGAGAAAGCUUUAUGCGCCAAUGGAUGAGCCCGCACUUGAUUAGUUUGUUGGUGGGGUAAUGGCCUACCAAGACUGUGAUCAAUAGCUGAUCUGAGAGGAUGAUCAGCCACAUUGGGACUGAGACACGGCCCAAACUCCUACGGGAGGCAGCAGUAGGGAAUAUUGCACAAUGGAGGAAACUCUGAUGCAGCGAUGCCGCGUGAGUGAAGAAGGCCCUUGGGUUGUAAAGCUCUUUCGUCGGGGAAGAAAAUGACUGUACCCGAAUAAGAAGGUCCGGCUAACUUCGUGCCAGCAGCCGCGGUAAUACGAAGGGACCUAGCGUAGUUCGGAAUUACUGGGCUUAAAGAGUUCGUAGGUAGUUAAAAAAGUUGGUGGUGAAAUCCCAGAGCUUAACUCUGGAACUGCCAUCAAAACUUUUUAGCUAGAGUAUGAUAGAGGAAAGCAGAAUUUCUAGUGUAGAGGUGAAAUUCGUAGAUAUUAGAAAGAAUACCAAUUGCGAAGGCAGCUUUCUGGAUCAUUACUGACACUGAGGAACGAAAGCAUGGGUAGCGAAGAGGAUUAGAUACCCUCGUAGUCCAUGCCGUAAACGAUGUGUGUUAGACGUUGGAAAUUUAUUUUCAGUGUCGCAGCAAAAGCAGUAAACACACCGCCUGGGGAGUACGACCGCAAGGUUAAAACUCAAAUGAAUUGACGGGGACCCGCACAAGUAGUGGAGCAUGUGGUUUAAUUCGAAGAUACGCGCAGAACCUCACCAACACUUGACAUGUUCGUCGCAACUUUAAGAGAUUAAAGUUUUCGGUUCGG